CAAUAGCGUAUAUUUAAGUUGUUGCAGUUAAAAGCUCGUAGUUGGAUUUCGGUUGAGAACGGCCGGUCCGCCGUUUGGUGUGCACUGGCUGGUCUCAACUUCCUGUAGAGGACGCGCUCUGGGUUAACGCUCGGACGCGGAGUCUACGUGGUUACUUUGAAAAAUUAGAGUGUUCAAAGCGGGCUUACGCUUGAAUAUUUCAGCAUGGAAUAACACUAUAGGACUCCUGUCCUAUUUCGUUGGUCUCGGGACGGGAGUAAUGAUUAAGAGGAACAGUUGGGGCGAUUCAAUUUUCAUUGUCAGAGGUGAAAUUCUUGGAUUUAUGAAAGAUGAACUUCUGCGAAAGCAUUUGCCAGGGAUGUUUUCACUGAUCAAGAAACGAAAAGUUAGGGGAUCGAAGAUGAUUAGAU
rnacentral:rRNA from 1 species